GGCACGCCUAACACAUGCAAGUCGAACGAAGUAGCAAUACUUAGUGGCAGACGGGUGAGUAACAUGUAGGUAUCUACCCUUUGGCCUGGAAUAACACGAGGAAACUUGUGCUAAUACCGGAUAAGUCUUUACGGAGAAAGCUUUAUGCACCAUUGGAUGAGCCUGCACUUGAUUAGUUUGUUGGUGGGGUAAUGGCCUACCAAGACUUUGAUCAAUAGCUGAUUUGAGAGGAUGAUCAGCCACAUUGGGACUGAGACACGGCCCAAACUCCUACGGGAGGCAGCAGUGGGGAAUCUUGCACAAUGGAGGAAACUCUGAUGCAGCGAUGCCGCGUGAGUGAAGAAGGCCUUUGGGUUGUAAAGCUCUUUCGUCGGGGAAGAAAAUGACUGUACCCGAAUAAGAAGGUCCGGCUAACUUCGUGCCAGCAGCCGCGGUAAUACGAAGGGACCUAGCGUAGUUCGGAAUUACUGGGCUUAAAGAGUUCGUAGGUGGUUGAAAAAGUUGGUGGUGAAAUCCCAGAGCUUAACUCUGGAACUGCCAUCAAAACUUUUCAGCUAGAGUUUGAUAGAGGAAAGCAGAAUUUCUAGUGUAGAGGUGAAAUUCGUAGAUAUUAGAAAGAAUACCGAUUGCGAAGGCAGCUUUCUGGAUCAUUACUGACACUGAGGAACGAAAGCAUGGGUAGCGAAGAGGAUUAGAUACCCUCGUAGUCCAUGCCGUAAACGAUGUGUGUUAGACGUUGGAAAUUUAUUUUCAGUGUCGCAGCGAAAGCGAUAAACACACCGCCUGGGGAGUACGACC
rnacentral:rRNA from 1 species